rnacentral:tRNA from 1 species
UCCUUGGUGGCUCAGAUGGUAAAGUGUCUGCCUGCAGUGUGGGAGACCCAGGUUCGAUCUCUGGUUUGGGAA